UACGAAGGGGGCUAGCGUUGUUCGGAAUCACUGGGCGUAAAGCGCACGUAGGCGGAUAUGUCAGUCAGGGGUGAAAUCCCGGGGCUCAACCUCGGAACUGCCUUUGAUACAGCAUAUCUUGAGUCCGAUAGAGGUGGGUGGAACUCCGAGUGUAGAGGUGAAAUUCGUAGAUAUUCGGAAGAACACCAGUGGCGAAGGCGGCUCACUGGCCCGGUACUGACGCUGAGGUGCGAAAGCGUGGGGAGCAAACAGG
rnacentral:rRNA from 1 species